UCCUCGUUAGUAUAGUGGUGAGUAUCCCCGUCUGUCACGCGGGAGACCGGGGUUCGAUUCCCCGACGGGGAG
rfam:Ciona savignyi cont_31656, whole genome shotgun sequence.